rnacentral:lncRNA from 1 species
GUGUAAUUUUAAAACAAUUUAAAAAUUACAUUUGAUUUGAGCACAAACUAAUCAAAAUACAGUCUACAUUCUACAGAUAUCACAUUCAGCUCUUCAUUGCUUAUGCAAAUUUCUGCAGCUGGCUUAAAUUUCUCCUCAGAAAAUGGUAUUUUCUUUUCUAUCACAUUGUCAGGCUACAAAUUUUCCAAACUUUUAUGCUCUGCUUCCCUUUUAAAACUGAAUGCCUUUAACAGUACCUAAAGAUGGGUAAUACUUUUUUGCAACAGAAGCCAACUUCCCCAGUACUACACUAGCUCCAAUCACCUCCUCACUCUCCACUUCCACCUCACCAUCUAAUCUUGGGUCUAUACUGAGAGAUCACCUU